rnacentral:rRNA from 1 species
GAUGAACGCUGGCGGCGUGCCUAACACAUGCAAGUCGAGCGGACGGGCGAGAAGCUUGCGGCGUGCAUGUGAGCGGCGGACGGGUGAGUAACACGAGUAUAACCUCCCUAUAAUACUGGUAUAUUUUGGGGAAUCCGGAUAAAACACCAUAUCAUAUUUUGAACCACGUGGGGCAAAAGUGAGAUACGGUGGUUCUGGCUCGUCUAGAUGGAUCCGCGCUGCAUGAGAUGGUUGGUAAGUUAACGGCUUACCAAGGCGACGAUGCAUAGCCGACCUGAGAGGGUGAUCGGCAGCACUGGAACUGAGACACGGUCCAGACUACUACGGGAGGCAGCAGUAGGGAAUGUUAGGCAAUGGGGGAAAGUCUGACGGAGCAACGCGGAGUGAGUGACGAAGGUCUUCGGGUCGUAAAACCCUCUUAUGAGGGAAGAACAUAUGUGGACGAAGACGAAGACAGCUUGACGGUAACUAAUAAGAAAGCAACGGCUAACUACGUG